AGUGAACGCUGGCGGUAGGCCUAACACAUGCAAGUCGAACGGCAGCACAGUAAGAGCUUGCUCUUACGGGUGGCGAGUGGCGGACGGGUGAGGAAUACAUCGGAAUCUACUUUUUCGUGGGGGAUAACGUAGGGAAACUUACGCUAAUACCGCAUACGACCUACGGGUGAAAGCAGGGGAUCUUCGGACCUUGCGCGAUUGAAUGAGCCGAUGUCGGAUUAGCUAGUUGGCGGGGUAAAGGCCCACCAAGGCGACGAUCCGUAGCUGGUCUGAGAGGAUGAUCAGCCACACUGGAACUGAGACACGGUCCAGACUCAUACGGGAGGCAGGAGUGGGGAAUAUUGGACAAUGGGCGCAAGCCUGAUCCAGCCAUACCGCGUGGGUGAAGAAGGCCUUCGGGUUGUAAAGCCCUUUUGUUGGGAAAGAAAAGCAGCAGGUUAAUACCCCGCUGUUCUGACGGUACCCAAAGAAUAAGCACCGGCUAACUUCGU
rnacentral:rRNA from 1 species